rnacentral:lncRNA from 1 species
GGGGGCGGGGCCUGUGCGGGCUGCGACCUGUGAGAAACAAUGUCAACACAGGAACUCGGCGCCCAGGACAGAAGUCAGCGUGGCUCUGGGGACCCAUCGCGGGGAAGCGUGAGUGGACGAUGCCCUGGUUUGCCGUUCACCAGGCAGGCUAAGUGCAGUGGAUGGGUUUGUGCAGCCACAGAGCGGCUCCUUGCAGCUGAUGCUUAAACACAGGAGACCCAGAUAUAUAACAGAAGGUAUACAUUGCAGUGACCAGCUGCAGAGAAGAGAAGAGAAUGGUCCAGAACCCAAUGCUGACACUCAGCCCUUUUUAUUAAGGCAUUAUGGACUAGAAGGGGACCGCUGGUUUUGACACUGCAGUGAAUGGCCUGCAGAACUGUC